GACGAACGCUGGCGGCGUGCUUAACACAUGCAAGUCGAACGGAAAGGCCCUGCUUUUGUGGGGUGCUCGAGUGGCGAACGGGUGAGUAACACGUGAGUAACCUGCCCUUGACUUUGGGAUAACUUCAGGAAACUGGGGCUAAUACCGGAUAGGAGCCUGCUGCAUGGUGGGGGUUGGAAAGUUUCGGCGGUUGGGGAUGGACUCGCGGCUUAUCAGCUUGUUGGUGGGGUAGUGGCUUACCAAGGCUUUGACGGGUAGCCGGCCUGAGAGGGUGACCGGCCACAUUGGGACUGAGAUACGGCCCAGACUCCUACGGGAGGCAGCAGUGGGGAAUAUUGCACAAUGGGCGGAAGCCUGAUGCAGCAACGCCGCGUGCGGGAUGACGGCCUUCGGGUUGUAAACCGCUUUCGCCUGUGACGAAGCGUGAGUGACGGUAAUGGGUAAAGAAGCACCGGCUAACUACGUG
rnacentral:rRNA from 1 species